ACCGAUAAAGGCAAACCCUGAGUGAUCAGGGGGCGCAAAGUAAAGGGUCUUAAACUUACAGGGACGUAGAGACGGAGAACCAGAAAAAGACAGCCUUACUGCCGAAG
rfam:Candidatus Brocadia fulgida BROFTL_contig000248, whole genome shotgun sequence.